UUUGAAUUUUGUUGGGGAACGGUGGCUGCUGUGCAGAGAUCAUGGCAAAAUUGCUGAAAUGGAAGGGGAAAAAUAAUGUUGUAAAAGCUUGCGGGCCCUCUCGUUGUAUGAGUUGCCUUAUCUUCUCUGCCUUUUCCUGCAGAACAGCUAACUGAAUUGCCCUGAAAUGUAGUGAACUGCAGGGUAUGCAGAUUCCGGUCAGGAAAUAAUUGCAGUGAGAAGUUUGAAUCCAUUAAGUGUUCCCUGUGUUCACCUUACGGUCUGCAGUGCCGAGCCAAACAAGCAACUUACCGUGGGCAAACUAGUGCAUAAAUAACAUGUGUGGCCACCUGGCAGUAGCCCAAAUGCAGAGAAAAGUUCAUGAAGCUCCCACUGCCAGGAAAAGGUCGUCUUCCUUGCCCCGCUGAGUGUCUGGCUGGGGAAGCUCUGGGUACCCUGUCCUGAGUCACAGAGAGUACGGGGAACUGACAGCCCGGAGGAAAUAACAGCUUUCCCAUCACCUUCAGUGCAGGUCGUAACCAUAGAAAAUAUUAUACCUACUGAAAGAGAGAGCGCAAACACGAAAAUCACGCUUUCAUCAGAAAAUCUUGCAGUUGCUUGUUUUAAAACAGAUGGCUAUUACAGACGUUGGAGAUAAAGCACAUAUGUAUUCCUUAGACGUUUCAAGAAUUUGAGCGUUUUAUAUGCCUUUAUCACUUUGCUGCCCUUCUGUCCUCCCUCCUUCUUCUUGGAAAAGAUUCUGUAGAAGGGAAUUCAACUAGAGGGUAGAAAAAUUUAAAAGGAACUUUGAAAGUCAUAAAGCUAGAAAACAACGCCUGGCUAAUUAAUGAACAACUGCAGGUUGGCAAUAGAAGUAAGGCGGGAAGGUGGGAAUGUAGAUUUUUAACUCAAUUUAUAGGCAUUUGCAUCUUUGGAUGAACAGCUUUUGAGUUCAGGUAAUGCUCUCUUCAAGAGAGUGGCAAAGGAAAAAAUGAGCCUUUUCUGUCACCACGGCCGUGUAUUUCACACAUUAGCCACUGUGUGUCUCUGGUAGCCACAGCAGGUAUAGGAAACACUUGGCUGCUCAUUCAAAUGCUCACCAGUUUUUCCUCUGAAAUUUGAUAGUUAAAAGGCACUUUUUUUAUAUAUAUACUUGGGCCGUAGUAUUAAGGUAUUAACUGUAUUAAGUUGAUAUUGUAAACAUUGCGUUUCGCAGAGCUGCCUGACUUUACAAGUCGUGCAAAUGAGCGGUCCUGAGCUAGGUCAGUAGCUGUUGUUAGAAAGAAGGCGGCAGAUACGCUGCUGUUGGAAUGACUGCCAUACCUUUUUUUAAUGACGUGGUCUUUUUAGCAGGCACAUUCCCGCUGUCAUAUCUAUUGUAUUUGUCACCGGGGGGGAAUGUAGCUUGGACUGGUGCUGCUGUUAAAUUUCUGUCCUAAGCUUUGGCAAUGGGAUUGAUGCUGAACAUAAAUAGUUUAUUUUUUAAAUCAAAUCAGAGGAACUGGCUUACUCUAGAUCGAGUCUCUUGUGUAAGCAACUAAAAAGGAUGGCAGCUGUAAGGACAGUGUUACAGCUUGCUUACAAAUCGUGUAGGUAUGACUUCAUUUCUUGUUUGUAAGUGAUACAGGAGUCAGCACUAAUACUCUGAAACGUAGCCAUUGUUGACAUAUAUUUACUAUAUAAUUUCUAUAAAUGCUUCUUGUGCUACAGCCUAUCUCCAAGCGUUUCUUGUUUAGCAUUGAAAAUGAGUGUUGUCUGGAGGUGUAGCCCUGUGGAAUUAAAAUUUCUCCAGACUUCUGUGAAUAGGCAGGCUGAGGGGAGUACAGCACCUCAGUUCUGCAUAUAAAGGGCGAUUUUCAGUUAUUAACUCAAAAUCCAGUUCCACAAAGUUCUGAAUUAUUCAGUUGGCUUUUCUAUUUCUGUAAGCACGCACGGGAAUUUUGCCGUGUAGACCAUUUGCGAAAGACAAAACGCAACAGGCUGCCAAAUGCGAUGAAGUAAAUCGAACUUCAAAUAUUUUUAGAAUGUGUUUAUUUUUAAUGUGAGUUGUGUGGCUUGGGCUUUGGGGGUUUUAAGUCUGUUUAUAUGAAACCAAAUUGGUGGUGCGGGUCUUUUUCCUUUUUAGUGCUAUCCAACUACCAGGAAGGCUGGGAAGAGUAUGUAUUCCUAACUCU